rnacentral:rRNA from 1 species
AGGUUAACCGAAUAGGGGAGCCGUAGAGAAAUCGAGUCUUAAUAGGGCGUUUAGUUGCUGGGUAUAGACCCGAAACCAGGCGAUCUAUCCAUGAGCAGGUUGAAGGUUGGGUAACACUAACUGGAGGACCGAACCCACUGUCGUUGAAAAGCCAGGGGAUGACUUGUGGAUAGGGGUGAAAGGCUAAUCAAGCCUGGUGAUAGCUGGUUCUCCCCGAAAGCUAUUUAGGUAGCGCCUCGGACGAAUACCAUAGGGGGUAGAGCACUGUUUCGGCUAGGGGGUCAUCCCGACUUACCAAACCGAUGCAAACUCCGAAUACCUAUGAGUACUAUCCGGGAGACAGACUGCGGGUGCUAACGUCCGUAGUCAAGAGGAAAACAAUCCAGACCGCCAGCUAAGGCCCCAAAAUCAUAGUUAAGUGGGAAACGAUGUGGGAAGGCAUAGACAGCUAGGAGGUUGGCUUAGAAGCAGCCACCCUUUAAAGAAAGCGUAAUAGCUCACUAGUCGAGUCGGCCUGCGCGGAAGAUGUAACGGGGCUAAAACUAUGUGCCGAAGCUGCGGAUUUGACUUUUAAGUCAAGUGGUAGGGGAGCGUUCUGUAAGCCGAUGAAGGUGUAUUGAGAAGUAUGCUGGAGGUAUCAGAAGUGCGAAUGCUGACGUGAGUAACGACAAAACGGGUGAAAAACCCGUUCGCCGAAAGACCAAGGGUUCCAGUCCAACGUUAAUCGGGGCUGGGUGAGUCGACCCCUAAGGCGAGGCCGAAAGGCGUAGUCGAUGGGAAAUUGGUUAAUAUUCCAAUACUUCUGUGUAAUGCGAUGAGAGGACGGAGAAGGUUAAGUCAGCCUGGCGUUGGUUGUCCAGGUGAAAGGAAGUAGGCAUGCAUCUUAGGCAAAUCCGGGGUGCUCUAUGCUGAGAUCUGAUAGCAAGCUGUACUUGUACAGCGAAGUGGCUGAUACCAUGCUUCCAGGAAAAGUCUCUAAGCUUCAGUUACACAGGAAUCGUACCCUAAACCGACACAGGUGGUCAGGUCGAGUAGACCAAGGCGCUUGAGAGAACUCUGCUGAAGGAACUAGGCAAAAUGGUACCGUAACUUCGGGAGAAGGUACGCUGUUGUUGGUGAUGGAACUUGCUUCCUGAGCUGAUGACAGCCACAGAAACCAGGCCGCUGCAACUGUUUAUUAAAAACAUAGCACUCUGCAAACACGAAAGUGGACGUAUAGGGUGUGAUGCCUGCCCGGUGCUGGAAGGUUAAUUGAUGGGGUUAGCGUAAGCGAAGCUCUUGAUCGAAGCCCCAGUAAACGGCGGCCGUAACUAUAACGGUCCUAAGGUAGCGAAAUUCCUUGUCGGGUAAGUUCCGACCUGCACGAAUGGCAUAAUGAUGGCGGCGCUGUCUCCAGCAGAGGCUCAGUGAAAUCGAAAUCGCUGUGAAGAUGCAGUGUACCCGCGGCUAGACGGAAAGACCCCGUGAACCUUUACUGCAGCUUGACAUUGAACUUUGACCUUACUUGUGUAGGAUAGGUGGGAGGCUUUGAAGUUGGAACGCUAGUUCCAAUGGAGCCGUCCUUGAAAUACCACCCUGGUAAUGUUGAGGUUCUAACUCUGCCCCGUAAUCCGGGGCGAGGACCAUGUCUGGUGGGUAGUUUGACUGGGGCGGUCUCCUCCUAAAGAGUAACGGAGGAGUACGAAGGUGCGCUCAGCGUGGUCGGAAAUCACGCGUAGAGUAUAAAGGCAAAAGCGCGCUUAACUGCGAGACCCACAAGUCGAGCAGGUACGAAAGUAGGUCUUAGUGAUCCGGUGGUUCUGUAUGGAAGGGCCAUCGCUCAACGGAUAAAAGGUACUCUGGGGAUAACAGGCUGAUACCGCCCAAGAGUUCAUAUCGACGGCGGUGUUUGGCACCUCGAUGUCGGCUCAUCUCAUCCUGGGGCUGAAGCAGGUCCCAAGGGUAUGGCUGUUCGCCAUUUAAAGAGGUACGCGAGCUGGGUUUAGAACGUCGUGAGACAGUUCGGUCCCUAUCUACCGUGGGCGCUGGAAAUUUGAGAGGAUCUGCUCCUAGUACGAGAGGACCAGAGUGGACGAACCUCUGGUGUACCGGUUGUGACGCCAGUCGCAUCGCCGGGUAGCUAUGUUCGGAAGGGAUAACCGCUGAAAGCAUCUAAGCGGGAAGCCUACCUCAAGAUAAGAUUUCCCUAGGACUUUAUGUCCUCUAAAGAGCCGUUCGAGACUAGGACGUUGAUAGGUUGGAUGUGGAAGCAUAGUGAUAUGUGAAGCUGACCAAUACUAAUUGCUCGUGAGGCUUGACUAU